rnacentral:tRNA from 1 species
GGGGCUAUAGCUCAGCUGGGGAGGAGCGCCUGCUUUGCACGCAGGAGGUCUGCGGUUCGAAUCCCGCAUAGCUCCA